ensembl:lncRNA
GUCUGCUUCACCUCUUGUUAGUCACCCUCUACAAAGUGAAAAUGGGAAAAAUUAAUCCACCACUAAAGCGUGUUUUUAUUGGCUUCAACUCAUUUUUUGCGAUCCUGGGAUGUACACUUAUUCCCUUGGUAGUAAAGCGCACUGCCAACAGCACACAGAGGCUGGCGUGCUGCAUGGUCCUGCGUGCCGGCCGCCUGCCCAACUCCCUGUGAGCCCCGGCUCACUUCCACACCGCUGCUUGCCACAUGGGUGGCCCCCGGACCAGCUCCGGGGCUGGUGCUGGAGGCGCGGGCGACCGCCAGAGAGUACACUUCCCUGUCGCUGGGCCGGAGCAUCGGGUGCCGAUGGUCCAGGCUGUUUCCCUCGCCUGCUUGCAGAGUGG